rnacentral:lncRNA from 1 species
CACACCCCUAAUAUGUUCUACACCUAAAACAGCUCACACUCUCAUCUGACUGGUGAUGAAGAGUGAAGUGUUGAGGUUAGAAAGGGUAUGGGGUGAGACUUGGCCUCACUCCACAGAUGUGUACAAACUUGAGUGUCUCUUAAUCUCUCUAGAUACCAGUCUCCCUUUCUUUCCAUGAAAUGAAACCUUCAGACAUGCUGUCGUCUCAGGUAACUCUCCAAGAGCUGUCUGCUUCUCUCAUUCUUUGCUCUUCACUCGUUGGCUUUGUCAAAUCCACAACACAUAUCUAAGACAGAACGCUGCUGCCAAACCUCACAUAGGGAACCAGAAAUGUCCUUUGCUGCGAAGCUUAUUCACUUAAUUUGAAGAGUUAGUACAGAUUGUGGUUCAGCGCAUGGGCUUUUAGAUUCUUUGUUUUACUUUAUGUAUAAGAAUGUUAUGUCUGUAUAUUUUAUGUGUGCACACAAACUAUUGAAUCCCCGUAACUGGAGUUACAAAAGGUUAUGAGCCACGAUGUAGGUGCUGGGAAUUGAACCUGGGUUCUCUGUAAGAGUUACAAGUGCUCUUAACUUCUAAACCCAUCGUCCCAGGUACAGACUGAAGGAGGGAGUUAUAUGGCCCGCCCUCUGUGAUGCACGUGUUACAUAAUUAUCAUCUGAAGCAAUGACUCUAACCUCCACAGUUUUUAUCAGCACGAAAUGUCUCACAGUGUGUGGGAGAAAGGAAACAGGAGCUCACAUCUACAUAAAGCACCCAAUGGCUCUGUAAAUGCGCAUAGCUGGCCCAACAGCUGCGGUUCACCUGCUCCAAGGUUUUUUCCUAACCUACAAAGACUACGCCGAGCCUCUAUGCUGAGCAUUCUUUCCCACAUUGAUGACAGGAGAGAAGUCAGGUGGAGAGCUGCCAUUUCCCCCUGGUGUUUGAUAAGCUUUAAUUUCACAAUAAUAACAAGUUUUCCACAGUGACUUUCUUUAAAAAGUCUGCCACAUGCUUGGCCCAGCAGUUUCCCUUCUUCACUGAGUAAUUGAAGGUCUCUUUCUCCUCGGGGCAGUUUUCAAGUAGAAGCCUACAUGCUGGUGUGCUUUUUCCAGAGGCCAGUAUCCAGCUUCCAUUUACUGAAAACGAGUUGGAGAGGAGGAAAAAGGAAAGAAUCCCACAACUAUACUUUUUUCCACCCAUAUUGUUCUUAGCCCAUCACUCCCAGCUGAGUUUAUGAAGUUUUCACCAUGAAAUUCCAUGACUUAAGAAUGUGUAAUCGCAUUGUGGGCUGUCACAAGGGGAAAAAUCGACACCUUACGCUUGAUGCCUGGGGAGAGUAACAUGCUGCAAGAUAGUGUGUUUAAGGCAUUUAUGAGAAUGGACACCGUCAUCGAGAAGAUAAUGGCAGAAGUUCACAAAAUGGGGUCACAGGACCCAGGCCCUGGCCCCUGAGCCCUGAAGAUCUGACCAGAAACCACCCAGAAGGGUUCAAGAGUCCUGAACUUCAGAUCUUACCUCCUAGACCUCGAAUAAUAAUGGAGAAAAACUGGACCCAAGAAGAGAUAGAAGGCAGAAGAUGGCUCUGUGACUUCUCUCAUGUCAGAUUUGCCUAGCUGAGCCCUGACCUCAGUCAAAUGGCACACAGAUAGCAAGGUGUAGCAGUGAGAAGCUGUAAGAGACGGUAAAAACUGAACAGGACCCAGGUUCAAUUCUCAAGAUACUACAUGAUACUCUUGGACAUGGUUAAGGUCAUGCAUGGACAGUCUCAAAACUGUUGCCAAGGCAAAUGUGGCUGUUUGGGGUGGAAGGCUGACAAGUUAGGACAGGAUAACUUUAUUACUUCAGUCAUUUCACUGGAAAGAGACUUGGCAGCCACACCUAUUUCUAUGUGUCUUGAGCAGUUUCUUUGGGUUGAAUUUGCCAUCCUAGGGGAUUUUGCUAUUGUUAUCGCCAAGAAGACUUCGUCUUAGACGGAUGGUAGGCUACUCUUGAUCUCUGACAUACUCUCUGGUUCUAAAGAUGGAACUUGGAGCACAAGCACAUGGUGAGUUUCCAAGGUCCAGGGUCAACAAUCUAGGCAUGCUGCUACAGUUUGUGUCAAGGUUCAGAGUGGUGGCUACCCCUGCUUUCAAAGAGAUUCAAGCUUUACCAGCUACCGAUAGAAGACGGAAAAGUCUAGAAGCAGAUCCGUCUCUGGUAUAGUGAGAAAAACGCCUCUCUGACAUCAUUUCAGAUCCGGAUAUCUGGAAGCAUAAGGUGAGAAACUAACCAUGCUCCAAACCACAAAAUUACAGCAACUUUUUAUGGAAGCAGACGGAAGUUAGUACAUGAGACUCUCGUUUUCUUUAGUGAGGGGAGAGAGAGUUGCAUGUAGAUGUCCAUGGGGACCAGAAGAGGGCGCCUGAUCUCACGAAGCUGGAAUUACUAGCCGUUGUAAGCUGCGCUACUCAGGUGGUGGGAACCAAACUGUAGUCCUCUCUGCAAGAUAAACUCGUAAUCACUCAGCCAAGUCUCCAACUCCACUGUCUCUAUUUAGUCUAUGCCAAUAAUAAAUCAUGACUGCUGACAAGAGAGAGGGAGACCUCUGUGACGAACACAGCUCCUCAUUCUUGGUGUACAUUUUUACUUGUGUGAUCACCAGCAUAAUCCUUAGGGAACAGCUCUCAUUCUUAUUACCAUUUUACAGAUGGACAAACUGAG